CCCACUGAGCGAGGCCAGGGAUUGAACCCAUGUCCUCAUGGAUACUAGUCGGAUUCAUUUCCACUGAGCCAAGAAGGGAACUCCUCAGGCAGUGACUUUAAUGGCUCCCUUCUGCCUACAGCAGACGAAGUGAACAUUCUCUGACCUGGCACGUAAGGCCCAGAACAGUCUGUCAAGACCUGCUGGCCUCUCCAACUUCAUCAACCCCUUUCUGGACCAGCCCCCAAGGAACCAUGGGGCAAGUUCCAAAGCAAGACAUCAGGAAGGAAGAAGACAAAAGCACUUAGAACAGAGUCUGGCAUAUGAUUAGUGAUCAGUCAAGGUGGUCACGAAAGUCUCUUCAAGGAGGCGAUAAUCUGUGACAUGAGGAAAAAGUGAGUAUUUUCAUCACAGUUAGCAGCAAAACACAGAUCUGGGAGGCUUGCUUCAGAAACAGACCUGUCUCCCUGUCCUUCUCCACCUCUGUGCCUUCAUACGUGCUGGUCCCCUGGCAGCCUGAACACUUCCACCUGUUUUCCAGCCUUUAAAAUCUUUCUACUUCAGGAGUUUCCAUCGCGGCUCAGCGGUAAUGAACCCAACUAGUAUCCAUGAGGACACAGAUUCCACCCCUGACCUUACUCAGUGGGUUAAGGAUCCGGCAUUGCCGUGAGCUCUGGGUAGGU